AAAGGAAAAUGACUUUACUUAAAAGUCCUAAAGAGAUGUGUCAUGUUUUUCUAGCUUAGUAACCUGUACACGUGCCCACAGCAUGGAGCUUUGAGGGCUUGGGUCCUUGAAAGGUGACUUGGAGUUCUUGUUUCUGGUUGUACUGCUCAUGAAAAUGAAGAAGGGUAAAACUUUAAAGAGCUGAGUACUUGGUGAUCAUAUUGACCAAGAGAAAGAAUUCCGCAUAGAAAGAGAGAGAACAGCACACUGGGGCAAUGAUUUUCUUUUGUUGGUUUCCCCACGAAACGCAAGAGGAUAUGGUUAAAAAAACAGUUUAUGAGAGCUAGCAGGUUUUUCUCUGCUAGUAAUCUGCUGGUCAGGAAUAUACAUAAAUUAACUGCCCUCUUCCCAUUCUGGUAGCAAAUGAAGCCAUGGACUUCUGUUUUUAAUCACUGGGAUUUUAGAGCAUUUGUAGUCCUUUCCAUGGGAUGACCCUUUCUGUACAUUUUGCAGAAGAAAAAAAGCCCAUUCAUACUUAUAUAUAAGAUGAAUUUGUUAUUAAUAAUGAUUAUUGAUAGCAGAAGGAGGGAAACUAUCCCUUUUCAAUGAAAAUUUUUGAUGAGCUCUGCAGGGUAGAAGGAGACCCAUAGUCAAAGCCACAGAAUUUGAUGAUAAAAUGCCUUGAGGGAGAUAGUGAGAGAAACUCUGUUUUGUUCCCCACAGAAAAUUGUGGCAAAAACUCAGAAAGGGCAGGAAAAAGAAUAGCGAGAGAGGAACCAAAAGGAGGUAUCGAAGUCUGUAGAAAUAACUAGAUAAUAGCCUAGUAUGGGGUUUUGAAAAUAGGGAUGUUCCAUCAUAAAUCUGAAGGUGUUUGAGGUCCAUGGACAACUUCUCUCCCUGCCUCACAUUUUAAGUAGGUUUAUUUCUGGAACUAGGAGAUGAGGCUGAGUUUUUAUAUCAGGGAGGCCGCCUAUGGGGAAGCAAGAGCCCAAAGCUAGAACAGCCUCAAGGACACUUAAAACCCCUUGGAUGCCACAGCAGUCCUGACUUUCUGCUUGUCUGGAUCUUCAGCGUGACCACAAACGGCAGGCUGGUUAUUUUCUACCUUACCAGGAAAGCAAAUCCAAGGCACGCCAAAGCAGGCGGAUGACUUCCUCUUGGGGAAACGGGUGAAAUGAUCAAAGAUGGCUCAGGAGUCUCAAGUUCCUGCUCUCAGAGCCUGAGAAGCCAGAAGCAGCCUGAGAAGACCUUACUCAGUAAUGGGGAGCUGCUGCUAUAGUCUGGAUCGCCUGGAGAUUGUUAUCAUGGAACUUCAAUCACUACGCAAACCAGCAAUGUCCUCUGGAUGCUAAGGGAGAGGAGGGGAUGACGUCUAUACUGUCCCAGCCUCGUUACACAGCGCAUCUCACUUAACCCUUAUUAUGAUGCUGGGUGGUGUUAUUAUCCCUCACGUUACACAGGAGGGAGCUGAGCUCAGAGAAGUUAAAUCGCUUGCCCAACAUUUCAGAGCUAGGAAGUGAUGGGACCAGGAUGUGACCCAGACCCGUUUGCAAAGUCUAGUCUCUCUCUACUCUGUUAUCCUCUUUCUUUUGAAGGAAUAAUCAAAAGAUUAUAUAUCCCUGGUUGCCUUCGGGGAAUAUUUAAUAAAAAAGGACUGACUGACAAACCAUUCUCUUUUGAAGUUUCCAUCAUUUCUAGUGCUAUGUCCGUGCAUUUAUCACAGAAUCUUCCACUUGUAAGGGAGGCCUUAGAGAGCCUCUAAAAGGAAGAUCUUUUGGGGCUCGGGGUGGGUGUGAGUGGGGUUUAAGCUGAAUUUUGACUGAGAGAAAAUAACCUAGGAUAAGGGAAGUGGGAAUCCACUUUAGGCAGAAGAAUUCAUACGGUGGAAGGGUGAGAAGUAUCUGUAGGAGGCAGGCAGCAUGGAGGUGGAAUCUGCAGAGCUAAAGUGGGGAGCACGGACAAAGGUGGGCCCUAUAUAGAUGUGUUUUCAGUUCCAGGCAAGCUCAAUUCUCUUCAGCUAAGCAAAUGCAUAUUCAUUAUCUGCUCUGCAUGUAUCAAGCACCAUGCUACAUGCUGGGAACCCAGAGUUCUUUUCAUUUAUAUGAAUCAAUAUAAUCUAGUCUGAGUUGGAUUUUCUGUAACAUACAGCAAAAAUACCAUAAUCAUUCAAGGAGAUAAAAAAUAAAUCACUACAGUAUAAAAUGGUGAGGGCUAUAAUAAAAAUAUAAAAAGAAGGAUAUGGGAAUUGAGAGGAGAGGCACUAACCCCAGCUCUGGGAUACAGGGAAGGAUUUCUAAAUAAAUGAUAAUUUAACUGAGCUUUGAUGGAUGAAUCGGAGUUAGGUGGGGAAGGAAUUCUGGGUAGAGGGAACAGUAUGAGAACAGGCACAGAGACAUGAACUCUACGAUGUUUGUGGGGAACUUCAGUGAGUUUGGAAUUACGAGGUGAUGAAGUACCAAGCUUGGCUGGCUGGCAGUAUGGCUGGGGAGAACUUUGGGUUUCACUCAGAAGGUGAAAAGGACAGUCAGACAGUGAAACACACAUGUCACAUGCUAUCACUAAUAUGUGAAAUCUAAAAAAAGGAUACAACGAACUUUGCAGAACAGACACUGACUCACAGACUUUGAAAAACGUAGAGUUACCAAAGGAGACAGGUUGGUGUUGGGGGUGGGGGGGAGGGAUGUGCUGGGGGUUUGGGAUGGAAAUGUUGUAAAAUUGGAUUCUGAUGAUGGUUGCAAAUUAUAAAUAUAAUAAAAUUCAUUGAGUUUAAAAAAAAAAGGUGAAAAGGGGACAAGGUUUUAGGCAGGGGAGGGAUGUGUCCAGAUUUAUAUAUGGCUAUAAAAUGGAAGAUACAGUUAAAGGAGGCAGGGAACUCCGUUGGGGGGAAUUAGCUUAUUCACAUUCUCUCAUUAUGACAUAUGGUGCUGGGUGCUCACAUACAAUGAACAAUAAUUAUGGAAAACAGACACAGUCCCUGUCCUUCGGGAGCUUACUCUUGGUUGAAAUUAUUACAGAAGUUCAGGUAAGAAGAGAUGGUAGGAGGCAGAAUGGGACAGUGUCUCUGGAGACAGUUGGAUGGGGACAUUUCACCAGUGGGAGACAUGGACUUUAUAUCCAGUAGGCACUGCGCGUUGCUUACCCUAAAUAAGGCCUAACUGCAAAUGAUUAACCAUUUUCCUACACGGAACUACUAGUCCACUUCUGAUCAUAAUACAAGGCAUCACAUGGUCUGAUUUCCACAAUGAGUGCUUUUACCUUGAUUAUUCUGCAAAAUCUGAACUUUCCAAUCUCGAAGUCUCAGCCAAUCAUCACACCUCCACCCUUUGUAUACUCAUGAUUGGUUUCGGGAUGGCCACCAGCACUGCAGUGAUUGAAUCAGAGAAAGCUCAGAGUUUUCCUCUUCUUGUAAUCUGGAUAUCAGUGGGGAAAUUUGUACCAGGAGUUGUGGCAGUCCCUCUGGAACCCUGUUCUUACUCUUGGCUAUUCUUGGAUGAACACUGGCUCCAACUCUGAAAAAAUGACAGAACUCUUAGCUCAGGAUCAGGCUGCUGGUCAACACUCACGGACUGGUGGUGGCUGCCAGAAGGGUGGUGUUGAGAAGAAUGUUAAGAUCACUCAGAUUGAUUUGUGAUGUCUGCCCUGGGCAUGGCAGGAUCUGAAGGCAAUCAUGCCUGUUUAUUUGCUAACCUGGCCUUAGCCCACUCUUUGUUUUGGUCACUAUCUGAUAAAAUAAUUAGUGAGUAGGUGACUUUUUUUUUUUUUAACUUCAGAAGAUGUACACUCUCUUCUGAAAACACAAGAGCAACAAAUGGAAGCCAAUUAAAAUAUGAUUGGUGCUAAAUGACAAAAAGCCCCAGAAAGCUUUCUUAUUAAAACACUCUUUUAACUUAAUAUAUACUUCCCUUAAAAUACCCACUAAAACAAAUCCAUUUUAAGAUAAAUACAGUUCUGAGCACCUCUUUAUUCAUGAGAAUCUGUUCAUGCUCAAGGGCCAUCCAUUGAAUGGAAUUGCUCCUAUUGUCAAAAUGUUACUUGAACUGACAAUUAUUUCAUUUUCUUAACUAAAAGGAAUAGAUAUGUAUGUAUACAUACACAGACAUAAUUUUCUACUGCUGCAGUUUCUGUUCUCAUAAAUCACUUUAGGUAUCCUAUACAAUAGUAUCUUGUAAAAGAUACUGUACUUUUUUUCCCCUUUUUACGGCUGUACUGGUGGCCUAUGGAAGUUCCCAGGCUAGGGGUUGAAUCAGCCACAUCUGCAACCUAUGCCACAGCUUGUGGCAACACAGAUCCUUAACCCACUGAGUGAGGCCAGGGAUUGAACCUGCAUCCUCACAGAUACUAUGCAGGUUCUUAACCCUCUGAGCCGCAACGGGAACUCCAGAUUUUCUAUUUUAGAAAGAAAUAUCAUUCUAAUGAUAUCAUUCUCCCUAACAAAAAACCUGUUCUGUGUAUCGUCUGUAAAACACUAGGUUCCCUUUGCUCUUUAAGCAGCAGCUUAGUCCCUUAGAAUGAUCUGAGAUGAAGUGUAAACUGUAAUUAGGAUUAUCGUGC
rnacentral:lncRNA from 1 species